rnacentral:other from 4 species
ACGGUUAUAAAUCAACAUAUUGAUUUAUAAGCAUGGAAAUCCCCUGAGUGAAACAACGAAUUGCUGUGUGUAGUCUUUGCCCAUCUCCCACGAUGGGCUUUUUUUUAU